rnacentral:rRNA from 1 species
AACGAACGCUGGCGGCAGGCUUAACACAUGCAAGUCGAGCGCCCUGCAAGGGGAGCGGCAGACGGGUGAGUAACGCGUGGGAAUCUACCCAUCUCUACGGAAUAACGCAUGGAAACGUGUGCUAAUACCGUAUACGUCCUUCGGGAGAAAGAUUUAUCGGAGUUGGAUGAGCCCGCGUUGGAUUAGCUAGUUGGUGGGGUAAAGGCCUACCAAGGCGACGAUCCAUAGUUGGUCUGAGAGGAUGAUCAGCCACACUGGGACUGAGACACGGCCCAGACUCCUACGGGAGGCAGCAGUGGGGAAUAUUGGACAAUGGGCGCAAGCCUGAUCCAGCCAUGCCGCGUGAGUGAUGAAGGCCCUAGGGUUGUAAAGCUCUUUCACCGGUGAAGAUAAUGACGGUAACCGGAGAAGAAGCCCCGGCUAACUUCGUGCCAGCCGCCGCGGUAACAC